GGGAUAUAAUGUUCUUCAGGAGACAGCUGAUCACCACGCAGAAGUGGACACCAACUUCCCAAGAGACCAGAUAUUCUUCCUAUAAAAUGACCCUAACUGCAGACAGGACUCCUCCUAUUCUUGUUAACGCUGCAGGGAGCCAGGUCCUGCAGGCAGUGGGAGCCAGGGCUGCUCCUGUUACCCCAGGAAGCCUUGCCAGCUGUGCGCCUCUGACCGACCAUCCCUGCGAGAGGAGAGUCUGAAUGGUUUGUUCCUCAUUAAUGAUGGAAAAGCAAAACAAUGUAAAACCACAAUAAUCUUUUGUUAUGUUUUAUUUUAUUUUGUUUCGUUUUUAUUGAUUGAUUUGCAAUAUCACAUUUACUAUGCAAGCAGGUGCUUAAAUGAUACAACCCAUUUCCAGAAUGACCCAUGCUUAAACAUUUCUCAUUAAAAAGACUCUGCCAAACCACUCCAGGGCAGACUGUAGUCCAAGAAGUCAUGGUUUCAAAGACAGAUGUGAGAGUAAGCUCACAGCAAAGAGAAUUAAAAAUCAGCAGCUGCUGUGCUUCCUGUGCCCCUAGCUCUGCUUGCAGCUGGCCGCACCAGCGCAUGCAUGCUGGCAGCCUGUCGACAGGACGUCAUUUGUUCGGUUAAUCCCUACCUUUAGACAUUUCUAAGCUGUUAGUGCUCCAACCCUUCCCUCGGUAAUGUUCUACAUAAAACAUUAAUCAUGUUUCUGAGGUAUUGCUUCUCUAGCCAAUUUAGCAAAAAUGUAUCAUAUGUGGGUUUUUAACUCUCUAAACCACAAAUUAACCAUGUCUGUGAAAUUAUGUGUAUUUAAAAUAUACAUUAGAUUUUGUAUUACCUAUCAGCUGCAAAUCUUCAUGGUCAAUAACAUUAGAGAGUAAAUUACAACUAAUUACUGAAAGCAUUGUUAACUGAUCCUGGAGAAUAUGUAUUGAGAACACUCACAUAAUUUCGGAGUUUGAACAUUUAAAAUGAUAUUUUAACAUUUUAGUCAAAAUGUAAUACUCUUCCUUGGCAUCUAUCCUUUUACAAUCCCGGCAAGAGCAAGGACAUUAAAGAGGUCAACCACAGCCCUUGAAAGUA
rnacentral:lncRNA from 1 species